GAGGCAAGAUUUCAGAAUCAGUUAGACAGACACGUUAGUCGAUAACAAAAUUGAUCCUUUUAAUUGAUGACGUAGGGGAAAGGGGCUAUGGGGUCGAAAAACAACAAAAGAUUCCUGCCGGUUGGGGUCUCAGGUCCUCAACGACUCGUCCUGGAGAAAACCAGAGGCGGGGCGUGAAGGGGCAGUAAUGCUUCCGGGUUGUCGGACUUCUCCCACGCCGACCCUCUAAAUCCAUGUCACUCUUGAUUGGGUUGAUGGGAUGCAGCUGUGCCCAAUGCCUGUUGCCAACUGGUUGCAGCCCACGCACCAUCACCUCCUCCAACCCGAUCCACCGUCUUGGCUUGGCCCCUCCCCCUGGUUUGCCACACAUGAUGUUCGUUUUAGUAAAUCCUGGUCACCUUUAGAGUAGAAGAGAGAAAGUACCUUCCGGAUGUCACGGGCGACGGGCUGGUCAGCCAGAUCAACAACCCCGAGGUGGAGGUGGACAUCGCCCGGCCGGAUGUGAGGACCAGACAGCUGAUCAUGGAGCUGAGGGUGGCGACCAACAAGCUGAGACACGCUCAGAGUGGACAGGACAUGGACUUCAUGGACAGCGAGGAGGGCAGUGGCUCCGGAGGAGGAGAUCAGGGUGAACGGUACAAUGACGAUUGGCCCGGCUACGGGCCUUAUUCCCCCCCCUACAACAAACCCCCCCGCAACCCCGCAUCUGACCCCGCGAAGCCGCCACGAGUCCGAGAGAGAAACGGGUCCAAGUUGAACAGAAACCACGGACGCGAGCGGUCCGCAGCCAGCCAGCCGUCCUGCUGCCUGCUUCCUCUGCUGUCGUUGCCUUUCAUGGCCACCGUGGCCCCCAUGUGGAGAUAGCUGGUCAUUACAGCCUGCGCAGUCAUUCCAUUCGGUUACACCAGCAGACAAAACCAAGCCAAAUCAGCAAUAAUUAAAAACCACAGCACAAAAUAAAUUGAUAUUUAUCUUACUGCCCAGGUCACAAAAUACAAGCACAACAAUGAAACUUAACACUGCCGUUCUUCGUUUGAGCAUUGGUGCUGAAUGGUGUGCAGGGCAGAGGAGAAACAAGAAGCGUUAAAAGGCAAAUGAAUUGGGAGGAUGUUUGGCUGAUGAAGCUCUUGUUCCGGUGGUUUAAUCCUCCGUGAGAUGGAGGUUAUUUGUGCCGGUUCAUAGCAGUUUUGUUUAAGUGAGCAGCUGAUUUGAUCCGUGAUUAAUAUUCUUAGCGGCUCUUGAUUUCACUCGAGUUAUGUUUCAUCUUUUAUCAUGUGGAAGUAAAGCAAUUUAAUUCACUAUCUUAAUUUAACCUCCAUAUUUUUGCUUGGAGAUGAAAAGAAGUCAACAGUGUGAUUCUUGAAACCAAACAAGUGGCUUACUUUGAAUGUACCUAGUUUGCUUUUACUUGUGUCAACAAGUGGUUAAUUCAUGUAAUAUAUUGGUGUUCUUAAUUUAUUUGUAAUAUAAUCCUCGUUCUUAUGCUCAUUCAUUUAAAAGCACCAUCUGUUUUUAACUUUCUCUGAAAAAAAAAAGGGAAAAAUCAAGUUGUGUUGAUUUAUCCUUUUUGUAAACCGAUCAUUUGAAAGUGUAAUUGAACCAAACGUAACGCAACUCUUAAUUAUCAAACCUUAUUGUGGCACGACAGCAGAUCCUUACAGAGCAGUUUGUGUGAAUGUGUGUUUGUUUGAUGCUUUUAUAUAUUUGUCGUUUUCAUGGUUCUGAUUUUUUAUACGGGCUUUUCUACUCGUUUUUCCUAAAAGCAAACAAAGAUGGGCAGUGUGGGGCUCAUGAUGGGAAUUGAAGGUGAAUGUUGUCGGAAGCCGAGAGACGACGGCUCGGAUUCUUACAGAACGAGUUGCAAUGAAGAUAAAAAUCAAAGAAUAUUCAAGAAGAAGGCCGGCAGGAGAGGGAACUAAAACACACUUUAGUGAGACAUUUCGGGAGAGUUGAAUUCGUGACUUAACGGUGAAUCCAGCACACUGCUAACUUAGCUUAGCAUAAAGACGGUUCGUUUCAGAAAUAUGCUAAGCUAUUCAGCCGCUAGCUCCAGCUCCGGCCUACAAAGUAAUUAAAUAAGCCUGUUUCAAAUAAUGUUGAGCUACUUUGUGCGAUGAUGAAAGUCAGGCGACGGAUCUCACAGACGGAAGCAGCAAUAAGGAGGCAGAUUAUAAAAAGAAGCUUGAAUGAGAAACGGUGAAAUUCACUUCUAGUUGCGCCUUUUGCAAAAAUACCAGGAGAAAAUAUACGCUUUAGACUUUUAAUCCCCAGCAAUCCAAGUUAAUUUUCAUUUUGGAACGAAACCCUUGACCGUCAGUCGGGACUUUGUACAAACUGCACAACGACGAAUGAAAGACAGUAUUUUAAAAGCAGGAGAAUCACGAGUUUUUAGCACAAUCAUCCGCACAGUCGUUCAUGGUGAAAGUAAAGCACAACACUUUUCAUGUUGUAACAGUUUUUUGCUUUCAAGCAAGUGAUAUUUGUUUUGCUUCAUUAAAAAAUAACUCAAACGUAUACUGAUGUGUCUCUUUUUGUGUUACAGCAAAAUUUCAACGAAAAUAGGAAAAAAGGCAGUUCACAUUUGAGUGUGUCUCCCCGUUUGUCGUGUUAGUUACAUCAACACAAAUGAUUUAAAAGGGUUUGUCCCAGGCUGAUAUUCCCCGGAGAGUUUGUCAAACUGAGACAAGCGUCCACAACAAAGUCCACGUCGUCCAAAGAGCAUUUUCAUCACUGGUGUCCCUCAGAGCUGAUUUAUUCUUCUACACGUGACACAUGCAGAACCAUCACUGCAGUUCUGUCCAAACCCAGCAGAGAGCAGCAAGCCUCCACACACUACCACCCUUUCUUUCUCCAGUAACACUUCUGGUAAUCAUUGUUUACCCACGUUUUGUAUUUCCUCCUAUUUCCAAGGAAAAAGUCUGUCCUCAACUGGUUGGAGCCGCUUUGCUGGUCGUGGAUCACAGCGAAUACACAACGUGGUGACGGGUGAAGCUCUGAAGCCCACUGACCCAUAACUGACCCAUAACUGACCCAUAACUGACCCACAACUGGUGAACCCACUGACUUGUGUUUAGCAACAACCAGCUGGGAUUCACACCUGAGAUUUACCUUGAAAAAGGAGAUUAUUCUUCCAUCAUGCAACACGACCUGUUUAAAGACUUUAGGUGGAGAUGAACACUUUUUCCAUAUUCCAUAUUUAUAUUUUUGUCAGCUCAGAUUAGAACCUGUUUACCUGAAAGCAGUGAGCCCAGAUUGCAGUAUUCUACCGUGAAUUAAAAGGCGUGUGGUUUGAGUGAUGGAUGAUCAAAGAAUGAUUCCACAGCAACCACAUUAUAGUGAAUCAGCUGUCGUUUGGGGAAGAAACAGCAAUUCAUCCGUGUACUUUAGAUCACUUUAUUAUUGACUUUACUUACUUUCCUUUUCCAUGAAAUGUGAGAAUAAAGCGACUUUAUUAACUAAAUGCAUUUUAUCCUGCAUAUGAGUCAGACGCUUCACAGGGAAUGUCUCUGCAGUGAAGAAAACCAAACAUUCAAAUCAAUCAAUUAAUCAAGGAAUGCAUUAAAACAAACAAAUACUUCAAAGUACUUCAUGUACUGAAAGCAGAUACCGAUUAUUGUGUUUGUUAACAGCAGAUAAGGCCGAUUAGUUGGUCGGGCCUUCAGAUGUGCAGCUUCCAAUUACAGCAGCCGUUAUUACUACAAUUGACCAUAAAGCAGCGUUGCAAGAAGCAGUUGUUGUAGUUUGAUGGAAUCAAACUAAACAAUGAACGUGUUUAGUUUGGAGAGAAAACUCUCAGGUGAGUCGCUGGGCUUAAAUUCAUGACACACAUGCAAACAGCGGCCGCAGAGUUUCCACUGCAGUAGUCGGGGGAUGUGGUUUUCUUCUUCUUCAGAUGCAGAAUUAGCUCUUUCGGUCGUGCAGGCGCACGCCGGGUGGUUCUGUGCUUCCUUUUGGGUCUCAACAAACGACUACGUAAAAAAAAUAGCUGUGAAUAUAGCUUCGCCUUUUCCUCCACUCUGAUAAAUGUUACAUUUAAACCUCGUAUUCAUUUCAGCAACUAUUAAAUGAUUUUCUGAGCACGAUGAUGUAUGUUUGUGUUGUUUUAGAUAUUCAACGUUUGAUGUUUGAGUCUGGUUGUGUCUACAGCACUUAUAUAAAAUAAGUCCUUUUUUUAUCCCUUUGAGGGUACACAGAGCAUGUGACCUUUGACCUGAAAAUAAAAGAUGGAAGGAAGCAGCAUAUGAACAUAACCAAUUCCUGGUAGUUUAGUAUUUUUACAUAGUAUCUCACAGACAAUAAGUAAUCUGUAGAUGUGUAAACAUGAACAGAUCUAAAAGUAUAUGAUACAUAAAAGGACUGAUGGAAAAAUGUUCCCCAAAUUUCCACAUUUUAUAACAACUCAAUGAAACACAAGCUAUUCAUACGGGAUCACUACAGCACAUUUACAUUGCACCUCUCCUCGCUAAUGUGUGUCUUUCUCUGCACUCUCCCUCGUUGAGUUUGCCUCCAAGUCUCCCUCAUCCACUGAACACCUUCAGAAACCUCUUUUUGAAGACCUCCCCUCCAUCUUCUUCAACUGCCUCCCCUCGGUCACUGAGGUGCAGUGCUGUGCGUGCUGGUAAGCCCAGCAGCGGCCUGCUUGUCAAUGGCAAACACACACUCUUUAUCUUUACUUUCUGGCUUUUUCUGUCCUACUACAGUCAGUAUCUGGUUAUUUGGGCCAUACAGUCUUUUUGAGGUGUGAAGUAGGUGCAUGUCAUUGCAGUCACUGCUGCUCCUGUGUCUAGUUUAAAAGAAACAACUUUAGUACUGUGAUGGAAGCUUUGCACAGACAAUUGUAAAAUAGGAAUAAAGGCUCUGAAUCAAAUAUGUCUUUCUUCGUUUAUUUUCUUGCAAAGAAAAGACGUCACAAGAGCUACGUGCUCCACAACAGGACAAGGCCGCUCUUGUGCUUCGGUUCACUCACAGAUGGAACAGCACCGUCUGCCGUCGCCUCACUCGCCCACAUUACAUCCCUCAUGUUCCAGCACCACUGUGUUAUGCGCAGAGUCAAUUUUGAAUCCAACUGAAGCUUCUCGGAAAGUUUGAUGUCUCUUAUGGCCACUACACGAUCACGAGUCAGUUCCUCUCUGAGGGCUCUAAAGUAACAAAGCACUGAGCCGCCCAGCAGCACUGACGCAUGUAAAAUACCCUCUGCCUCGUCUCCCAUGGAAUAUAUCAAAUUGUUCACCUGGAAUGCCUCAUCCUUUUCUAUCCAAUCCAGACACUGUUCUGUACCUUUCGAGUCGCCGAAUCCAUUUGGGCCAAUUUUGGACGUCUCUGCAGUCAAACUUCUGUGGGGGGGCUAAUCCGAAACGCUCCCCCGGUGUGAGCUGCAGGGGAAAGUCCAGCACGUUGUCCCUCUUCUUACAUCUUACUCCAUCCGAUGCGUUGAUUUACGUCCAAAUCUGUGGUUUUCUUGAAGUCCCGGGUUCUUUAUUCUGUCAACUAUACGUUCCUGUCGAAGGCUGAGUUAGUUUUAACAAUAAACCCUUCUGACAUCAUGUGGCGUUUGCCAUUACAAAUGAUGACGGACAGCGGCAUGUCUUUAGCCUGCCGGCAUAUUUACUGAACUUCACCUUGAUGACAACACACAGAAACAUUUAUACAGCUCCGGGUACGGGACGUCCCGAGGGUCAGACUACAGAUCCGAUGUUAGACUGUGGAUCCGACCCCUGAGCCCUGACACCUGCGUAGAUACUUUCACCCUCCUCUGUGGUGGAAU
ensembl:lncRNA